ensembl:lncRNA
CUUCAGCCUAUCGGGGCUUGCAGUGAGCCCGGAGCGGUUUCCUGCCCAGGCGGCGGCGGGGCUGGCCCCUGGGCUGUGCCAGCCAGGGACUUCAUCUGUGAAGGAGGUCAACGUUUGCAGGGCUUCUUCCUGCCCUUGUUGCUCCUUUGACACCCACAUAGUCCCCUGAGCUGCUCUGUCCUCUCCCAGCCCCAGCCCCUCUCCCCAGCUGCUGAGCUGCUCAGUUCCUCCGCCAAGCCACCCUCUCCCACCUGCACAGGCCCCUACCCACCCUCUCCGGGGCUUCCCCUUCCAGAAGCUUCCCAGGCAUGGGAUCACAAAUCGCUCCCCUCACACCUGUGGCCUCCCCUUGGGACACACAUGUCCUCUCCGGCUUCUGACUGUCGUGCCUCCUUGGCUGUGCAGUCCAAGAGCUCAAGGCCCGAGUCCUGUUCCCAGUGUGCCCAGGGCUGAGCACAUGGGAACCCCGCCUUGUCCCAGUGGACUGAGGUGCUGCCGGUCCCCUCCCAUCUCAGGUCAUGUUCAGCAUCUUCUUCUCCAGACAAAGUCUAGCUAUGUACCCCAGGUGGGGCUCAAAUUUGAGAUCCUCCUACCUCAGCCUCCCAGACUGCUGGAAUUACAGGUGUGCACAACCUCGCCCGCUCAGGUGGGAAUUUUUCAAUUCAAUACAGAGAAAUCGGUUAUCCUAGACUGAUCAGAAACUGCCCCGUAAUUAACAAAGUGCUUUUCCUUUUUUAGAAGUUCUCAGCAUGUGUUAAUUUGGUAGACAAAAACCUACCAAGACCUGAGGUUCCACGAGCAGGGUGUACUGGCACACAUCUGUAAUCCCAGGACUUGAGAGGCUGAAGCAGGAGGAUCGCUGCAGUUCGAGGCCAGCCUGAACUACAUAUCGAGACCCUGUCUCAAAAAAUACAUAAAUAAAAAUGAAAAGACGUGGGUUCCUGGUGUGAAGUACAGAAGAGGUCCCUUGGGUGUGAGGAGGAACCCACCUUGACUUGGAAGCGAUCAUAUGUGGGAAUUGUGCUCGCUCCUGGAGCCCUGAGCUACAUCAGAGAGAGACGUCCCUGCUGGGGUCUGUCUUGGGCACUUCUGAGCCCUGCAGCUUUGCACCUGGAAUGGAAGGAGCUGGGGGGCUUCGGGCUUGUGUAGGCUCUCUCCCUUCCUGCUUGGUGAGCUUGUGUGUCAGGCAGAGGGAGGGACGGGAGGAAAGCACUGUGUGAACCGGAAUCACCGGGGCUGGGGGUUGUUGCAGUGGUCAGAAACAAAUGGAGUCACUCAUGCCAAGCCCUGAGAGCAAAUAAUAAGUGGAGGCGGGAGGUGCUGAAGGGGGAAUCUCACUCUGUGUGCCUGAUAACGAGGAAUCGAGGCAAGACCCAGCCAGAACCACCACCUUGUGUGAAAGAUUCUUCUGCGACGACAUCGGCCUGGCCACUGUCUGUUCCACCUCAGACUGGCGCUGCCCUUGUUACUAAACCUGAGGCCAAGCAUUAUUGUUUCAAAAUAUUUUAUGUAAUCCUUCUCAUUUAGUCUUUAAAUGUCUGUCUUCUGAACUGGGUGUGGUGGCCCACACUCUGGGAGGCUGAGGCAGGAGGAUUGUGAAUUUGAGCCCAGGCUUGGCAACGUGAACUUAAUGAGACCCUGUCUCAAAAUAAAAAAUAAAAAAGGGCUGGGGAUGUGGCUCCCUGCUAGAGUGCUU